UAUAUAUAUAUAUAUAUAUAUAUAUAUUAUUUAUUUAUAUGAUUUUAAACCCUAACAAAAAAACAGCCCAGCUCAGCCCUUAUUGGCUUAUUCGACUCCCUAUCCCUUCUUGGCUUCCUGCUUGCCGUUACCUUCACCUCACAAAGACAAAGAGCUACUGCCGCAUAGCCGCACCAGUCCAUUAACCAAGCUGCUGCCCGUGCCACCAAGCUGCCGCCAAGCUUACUUGUCGCAUGUAUCGGCAACGUUUCUCUGCAUCACAAGCUUGCUGCUUGCGCUUUGUUUCUCGUGGCUUAGUCAUUCAUUCAAACUUCAAGCCAAGUGAGGUAAAUUAUGGCCGAAGCUAGUGGUUCGACAGCAAAUGUCAAUACACCUUCAAUUGAAAGCAAUCCACAUGACAAGGAUCAAGCAUCAUCAACAUCUGCUAGCAACAGUUCGACUCCAAUUAAUACUACUCAAGAAACACCUAGUCAAGAAGAGUAAACUCUAAUAGAGGUAUGUGAUACGGAUAAUAAUCAAGUAAUUGGAAAAAGAAAAUUGAGUUCGGUUGUGUGGAAUCAUUUUAAAAAGAAAAAGAUAGAUGGGGUGGAUAAGGCUGUAUGUAAUUAUUGUAGUAAGAAACUAGGAGGAGAGAGUAAAAAUGGAACAAAACAUUUACAUGAUCAUUUUAAAAGGUGUCCUCUUCGAACACAAAAGGAUAUUAGGCAAUCAAUAUUGAAUCCUACUAAAGAUGCCGGUGGGAAAGUUAAAGUUGGCACAUACACUUUUGAUCAAGAGAGUUCUAGAAAGGAGCUUGCCAACAUGAUAGUUUUGCAUGAGUAUCCUCUUUCAAUAGUUGAGCAUUAUGGAUUUAAGAGGUUUAUGAAUACGGUUCAACCGUUGUUUAAAGUGGUUUCUCAUAACACAAUUAGAGUGAUAUCUUUAAAUUAUAUGAUUACAAAAAAUCCAAAACAAUGGAAUUGUUAGAGAAGAAUUAUGGUAGAGUUGCAAUUACUACGGAUAUGUGGACAUCCAACCAAAAUAGAGGCUUCAUGGCUAUUAUGGCACAUUUCAUUGAUGAUAAUUGGACAUUUCAAAGUCGAAUUAUAAGGUUUGUAUAUGUGCCUUGUCCACAUACUUCCGAGGUUCUUUGUAAUGUUUUUAUGGAUUGCAUAUUGGAUUGGAAUAUAGAUGUGUGGUGCACAUAUAUUGAAUUUGAUUGUGAAAGAUGGUUUUGAAAUAAUUUGUGGAAGUAUUGAAAAAAUUCAUGAAAGUGUUCAUUUUUGGACAACAGCACAAAAAAGAGAGGAAAAAUUCUUAGAAUGUGUUCGUCAAUUGAAAAUUUCUUAUGAUAAGAAGUUGGUACUUGAUUGUAAAACUAGAUGGAAUUCUACAUAUUUUAUGCUUGCUACUGCUUUGAAAUAUAAGACUGUUUCUCCCCGUUUGAAGCAACGAGAGUCACUAUAUAAAUGUUUGCCUAGUGAUCAAGAUCGGGAUUUAGCCAAAGAGAUUUAUGAAAGGCUAGAAUUGUUUUAUGAAGUUACUAAAAUAUUUUUAGGAACAAAGUAUCCUACAGCUAAUCUUUUUUUUUUCCACAUAUUUGUAAGAUUAGGAUGUCAAUUUGUGAUUGGCUAACAUCUUCUUAUGAGGAAAUUAGAUUGAUGGCCUCGGGUAUGAUAUUUAAAUUUGAAAAAUAUUGGAGUGAAACACAUGGAAUAAUGGCUAUGGCAACUCUUUUAGA